GUUCGGAUCGGGGCGAGGGGGGCGGUUCGCCGCCCCCGACGUCGCGAGAAGUCCAUUGAACCUUAUCAUUUAGAGGAAGGAGAAGUCGUAAUAAGGUUUCCGUAGGUGAACCUGCGGAAGGAUCAUUG
rnacentral:ncRNA from 1 species